GCUGGGCAUGGUGGUGCAUGCCUAUAAUACCAGUACUUGGGAGGCUGAUGCAGGAGAUUACAAGUCUAAAGCCUGUCUUAGCAACUUAGUGAGACCCUGUCUCAA
rnacentral:sRNA from 1 species